UCCAGUGAAAGAUGUUGUGGGCGUUCCGUGAUGACGUAGUAGAUAUGUUCUGCGUGCUGCAGUUCCUCUCUGUUUGCUCUUACGAGACUCUAGCUCUCCGUCUUCUUCACGGCCACAAGGUCAAGCAAAGGUGCGGAAGGGCUUUCCCAUUUCACAUGGCCUUACACUGAGGUGUCUAGUGGCCUCCAGCUCAGGGCUGUCCAUGUGAGAAGUGAAUCUGAGAGGAUAAGAGCAGACACUUAAAGAAGAGUUUACCACAGAGCAUGGCCUCUGGCAAAGAAGAUGGAGUGGAUGAAAGAACAGUGGACAUUAAAGAAGAGGACUGUGAGCGGCUCACACCAGAGGAACUGUGUGUAAAGCUGGAGGAUCACGAAGAAAGAAUUUCAGUUUUUAAAGAAGAGGAGGAGUGCAAGGAGGUGACUGCUGCCAUUAAAACUGAGGAUAUGAAUAAUUUCUCCAUUGGUCUUGAACUUCAAAAGCAUGAAACUGAGGAUAUUUUCAAGCAAGAUGCCUGUGAAGAAACUCCAUCCAGUUUACAUCCCUGGUCCACUAAUACGGGACGACUGGCUAUGCAGGAGAAUUCUACAGAGUUGAAAUCAGAAUUAUCAGAGUCUGAAGAGAAAAUCACCGAGGGAAAUGGGAGAGAAGGAGAAGAGUCACCUGGGAGUAUUGGAAUAAAUUUACAGAAGAAUGGCAGUUUCUCACCACCUUCAUUUGGUCAGCCCUCUCUUCAAUAUGAUGAGAAAGGUAUGAAGAAAUCAGCAAGAGGAUCAGAGAACCUGACAGCAGCCUUUUUGCAGUGCAGUUCUCUCCCUUUUACUGGAGUAACACAGACAGAAGCCAUCAAAACUGAUCGACAGCAAGUGGAGAAAGAAAUCCAAAUUCACACUGGAAAAAAAUGUUGUUUGGAAUGUGGCAAACAAUUCACACACAAAAGUGGUCUUAAUAAGCAUAUGAAGAUUCACACAAGAGAAAAAACUUCUUGUCCAGAAUGUGGUAAGUCAUUUUCAAGGAGAAGCGAUCUUCAGAGCCACAGAAAAAUCCACACAGGAGAAAAACCUUAUUGUUGUCCAGAAUGUGACAAACAAUAUUCUGACAAACGCAGUUUUAAAAGGCACACGCAAAGUCAUACUGGAGAGAAAAAGCAGUAUGUAUGUUCUGAAUGUGGCAAAUGUUAUACAAGCCAGAAAAGUCUUAAUACACAUGCUAAAAUCCAUACUGAAGAAAAAUCUUAUGGCUGUUCUGAAUGUGGGAAACGAUUCUUACAUAUAGGUCCACUUCAGCGUCACAUCAGAACUCAUACUGGAGAGAAACCUUUUUGUUGUCCUGAAUGUGGUAAGAAUUUCUCAGAACAAAGCACCCUAAAGAUUCAUAUUAGACUUCACACCGGAGAAAAACCUUACAAUUGCUUGGAAUGUGACAAACAAUUUUCACGCCUAAGUUCUCUUUAUAGUCAUAGGAGAAGUCACACUGGAGAGAAGCCUUACAGUUGUACUGAAUGUGGAAUGCGAUUCUCGUAUAACAGUUCUCUUCACAAACAUAAAGUAAUUCAUUCUGGUAAGAAACACAGCUGUUCUGAGUGUGGCAAGCUUUUUUCAGACAGCAGGACUCUUAAAGAUCACUUGAGAAUUCACUCUGGAGAGAAACCUUUUUGCUGUCCAGAGUGUGGCAAACGAUUCUCACGUCAAAGCACGCUUAAGAGCCACAAAAGGAUCCACACUGGAGAGAAGCAGUACAUCUGUUCUGACUGUGGCAAGCUUUUCUCAGAAGGCAUGUCUCUUAAAUAUCACAUGAGAAUUCACUCUGGAGAGAAACCCCAUUCCUGUCCAGAAUGUGGCAAACGAUUCUCACAUCCAAAAACACUUAGGUGCCACAGAAGGAUCCACUCUGGACAGAAGCAGUACACCUGUUCUGAAUGUGGAAAAGGGUACUCAUCAAGAAAAAGUUUUCGAAGACACACACAAAGUCAUAUUGGAGUAAAGUCUGUCCCAGAAAUGACAAAUGAUCUUUCUAUUGAAUCCUCAGUCAUAAAAAAAUAAAGAAAAAUCUUUUGAAUGUGGUAAAGGACUCCAGUUGAAAGUAGUUAAUAACUACAUAAGAAUAGUGGAGAAAACACUGAAGGUAGCAAUCAGAUUUUAGAUGUAAGGUAACCUCGGAACCACAUAUGAAUUCACACUGGAGUGAACACACUGGAAUACAACACGUAUUUCACAAACAACAGGAAUCUUCUUCAACAACUUCUAGGUGCAAGAAAAAAACCUCAUUGUUGUCCUAAAUGUGGUCAACACUUUUCAGACAGCAGUGGUCUUCAUAGUCAUAAAUGACUGGCCUACUUGUGGUAAGCCUCUUAGCUGUUCUGAAUGUUGAAAGUGGUCCUCCUGUAUCAGCUGUCAUCAGCAACAUGUAAGAUUUCAUGAAGGACUCAGAAACUGUACUGUCAGGACAUCAGCCAUUCAGGGACUGAUCAUCUCUGCACCAGUGCUGUGACAUAAUAUGGUGAACAAUACAAACACCAGACAACAGAAUGAGGUAGCAACAGAACUGUGCGGUGAUAACAACUUCAACUACAGAACACAACUGAAAAAGUUCAAUGUAAUAAUGAAAAAAUGGAGAAGUCAAAUCAAAUCCACAGUGCAGUGCCAACUACCAGGAGGUGCCACUGACAACGAAGGGAUAGUUUUUUUUCGGAGCUUUGGAGAUGGGGCCUUAUCUGAGUAGCAAUGAACUUGUACCGUCUGAGAAAGAAAGAAA